AGUCUCAGUUCGGAUUGCAGGCUGCAACUCGCCUGCAUGAAGCUGGAAUUGCUAGUAAUCGCGGAUCAGCAAGCCGCGGUGAAUACGUUCCCGGGCCUUGUACACACCGCCCGUCACACCAUGAGAGUCGGGAACACCCGAAGUCCGUAGUCUAACCACAAGGGGGGCGCGGCCGAAGGUGGGUCCGGUAAUUGGGGUGAAGUCGUAACAAGGUACC
rnacentral:rRNA from 1 species